CCACCACAGCCCAGACCAGGGCUGCAAAACAUCUGGGAUGCUGGGGGACUUUUAUUUAACUUAAACCAGGAAGGGGUCUUGGGCAGACAUUGUCUGCAGAAUCCCAGGCUUUUCCCCACUCACUGCUCAAGGGGUGGGAGUGUUGCCAGACCCCAGCCCUGGGCUAGCACUCUGAGGCAAAGGGGGGAUGUGUAGUGCAUGCAUGUGUUGAUGACUGGUUUGACCUAAAUCAGUUAAGUCUGAUACUACAUUCAACUAUGUUUAUCUUAAACCAGUUUCAGCCAUUUUGAAACUGGUUUAUGCGCACUAAACUUAUGUUCUAUUACAGGACAGGUUUUAACCAGUUUCUGAUUAAUUAACCAGGUAUAUGUGUAACUUCUGUCCCUGAUCUUAGUGUUCUUUUAUAUAGGACAGUGAUUCUCAACCUUUUUAGACUCUUCAACUCUUGUUAGAUUCAAAGCACUCCUCAAAAAACACCAGCUCUUAGCUUUCACUCAUCUUUUGACUAUGGGAAAAAAAUAGAGCCUUGUAUUGCAAAGAACUCAGAAAGACCACAAAAGGUCAACACUUUUUUAAAAUUAUGGAUCCCUAUUUGAAAACUUCUGGCUUCAUCUUGUGAAUUUUGUAUAAGUCUUUGCACACUGAACAGUCUUAAUAUUGUGUGGCAUCCUUAAAAGGAUCUUAUAGUAUCCUAAAGUGCUGUUUCACCUUGCAACACUGAUACAGGGACUGUACUGAUACAGUAGAAAAGCAAUGAUACAGGGACUAUUUUUAAUAGCUUAUGUAUUAAUGUUCCAAAAGCAGGCUAUGAAAAUUAUUUUCAUAACUUUUUUUUUCUAUGUCUCUAUAUUUUUUUAACAGACUCUUGCAGGCAACGUCAUUGCCAAAACAUCCAUGAAAAGAAACCUACCUAACCUAUUUAUGCAUUUCAGCAUUAGAAUCACCAGUGGUGUUGUACAACAUCUGUGAACAAGACAAUUAUUGCCAAUUAUUGUGAAAAAUUAAGCAUCAAAAUAUGAUUGGUACUUUUGGUAGUGACUACCCAGUCAGUAGCGACUUACCCAAAUAGAGGAGGCAGGCAGCUGAUUUUGCAGGUACGUCACAGGACCAACAAUAUUUUUUGUGGGCUUAUCUUGGCCAUGCCCCUUCACCAUGACUCUGAUUUGCUGAGGGGCCCUGGUGCCCCCCACACACACCUGAUUGGCUGAGAGGCCUAUUCAUCAACUUGCCUCACCCCUUGCCACUGAUUGGCUGUCAGGGCUGUCUGUCAUUCAGCCCCACCCCUCACCACUGAUUGGUGGAGAGAGGCAGGGUCUCAUGAAAGGCAGCUCUCUCAGCCAAUCAGAGGUGAGGGGUGUGGGUGACCAUCACCUUGCCUGCUCCCAUUUUUGCUGGCAGCAUCCCUCCCCCAUUACCCCCUGGCUGGGCUGUGCAGCUGGGCCACAGUGGCCAUGAUAACUGCUGGCUCCCACAGGAGAGCCAGCAUUUUAUUUUGAGUAAGUGUCCCCCCUCCCCACCCCUGCAGAUUUUGCAGUCAUUGCCUGAUUUAAUGAAAUCUGUGAAAUUGUGAAUUGAGUAGGUCCCUACCAAUAAGAUUAUAUUCUAUUAGUGCACCUGGGAGGGAGACAAGAGAUAUACACAAGAACAGAUGGUUAUAAACUUGCCAAAAAUAAAUUUAGUCUAAAAACUAACAGAAAAUUUCUAACAAUUAGCAUAGAUGGGUUCUGUAACACCCUUCCAGUAGGAGUGGUGAAAGAAAACACCACUAGUUUUAAAACACUACUCUUUCCAAAUGCCAAAGCAGACUCUUGCCACCCUCAAGAAAGCAUGAAAGGAGUGGAAUGAUAGAUCAGGUCCCACCCUCUGCCAGUGAAGGAACUAGACAGACACAGGCAUGACAGCACACCUCACUUCCUAGCAAAUGGUUCACUAGAUGAACUACUAUAGAUCUCCUGGGGGUUACAAGAGAUGUUGUGUCUGCCUGGGUCACAGUCUAUAAGAACAGAAUUAGGAGUUGUCUACAGAGUGUCAGUGAAUUAAGUUACACCAGAUUAACUAAAGGUGUGCAUUUAAAGUGAAUUAUUUAAACCACAUUAGAUCCCUGUGCAGACUUUAAUCCAGUACCAGAGGGGCCUACAUUUGAUUUAGGUUAAUUCACUUCCAAAGUAAAGUAAACUAAAUUUAAUUAAAUACACUUUAACUUUGAAUAAGUGUGUCUACACAGGAAUUUAAUGAGAUUUUCAAAUUAAUUUGAAUUAAUUUUCUUGAAGAUCCCAGACUCAGAGGUAUGCUUGGUUAUAACGGUUACCUACUAUUAAAUCAGACUAUCCUUUCCAGUCUAAUCUAUUUAGGCACUUACGUUAUCAAUAGCACAGUAUCUAACAUUCCAACAGAGACAUAAAUCCAAAGGAAUAGUCUUAUACAUUUGCCUACCAUUUUGAGAAACAAUUAUUGGUUUAAUCUGAGAAAUACAUAGUAGAAAAGAAAAUAAAUAAAACAGUUACUUUCUUACAUACUACUAGCACAAACAGAUAAUAAGAUUAUAUUAUAAUGAAUAGUAGAAAUGCAGGAUGAUUAAUUUGUCUGUGUUUUUUUUCAACAGGUACAAUCCUCAACAUGUGUGGAAGGGACGAGAUUAAAUCUUAAAAGCCUUACCCUAUAUACUGAUUAAUAUAAGUGGAUAGCUUCCAUUCAUAUUCAUGGCAGCUACAUGUACGCAUGAAGGGGAAAACAAAUCCCUUAAUCUUGUCCUGGUAUUAAUGGUCCAUUAUGAUGACAUUACAAGAGGCUUCCCAACUGAUACCAAUGCAGGAAAGAAGCUUUAAUUACAAAUUGUUUUAAAACAUUACAGAAGGACUUUGAAUCAAAGGUUUAUGAAUUUUAUCAUGUAGGGGAGCUGCUUCUGAUCUUCCCUAAACCACCUCUAUCACUAAAUGCUAUAUUAAAUCAAUGAGAGUUGGUGUCUUAAAUUAUUGUAUAAUUUGGAUUUGUGAGAUUAGUGUUAUGUGUUUAUAUUAUUCCUCCUGGAGACAGUCCAUUAUUUCUGAUUAAUUUUAAUUAAGCCUGCAAAUGGCCUUUUAUCUCUCUGCUUCCAGAAGUGGCUCUUGCUAUCUAACAUUUGUUUGAGUUUAGAUUUAAUAAAUAUCUCCUCCUUAACCCCUGCAGCAACAGUUUUGAACUGGAGUGUUGGUAAUGAAGACAUAUGGAGAUAUAGACAGAAGGAGAGCAUUAGAACAAAACAGAUUAAGUUAACUGAGAAAUCAGAAAGGCUCCCAUAAUAUGUGGCUGUACAAAUUGUAAGGGGCUGGAAGGAACCUCACAAGAUCACUGGGUCCAGCGCCCCCUUCACCAGGCAAGAAAGACAACUGGGGUCAGGUGACUCCAGCAAGGUGUGGCCACUCCAGACUUCUAUUCCAUGCAAAUUGAAGUCCUUCAGGAUCCCAGAAUUCAAUGGUCCCUUCUGAGUCAGGAACCACGACCAAAGUCCAGGGGCAGGAUGCUGCCUGCCAGACCCAAUGCCCAGAAUAUGCAGCAUCCCAGGUGAUAUUUAGGGAUCGAUCAGCCUGCGGCUAGCAGUGGAAGGGGAUCGAAGAACUGGACAGAGGGAGAAUAGAAAGAGUAUCAAAAUUUGUAUUGGUGCCUCUUGUGCACCUUGCAUACCUUCCUUCACUCCCAUAACAUUCUACCAGCCCUGUGUACAAUAAAUCUGAACUAA